rnacentral:rRNA from 1 species
UACGGAGGAUGCAAGCGUUAUCCGGAUUUAUUGGGUUUAAAGGGCGCGCAGGUUGUUUGAUAAGUCAGUGGUGAAAGUCUGUCGCUUAACGGUAGGAUUGCCAUUGAUACUGUUGGACUUGAAUAUGGAUGAGGUAGGCGGAAUGUGUAGUGUAGCGGUGAAAUGCAUAGAUAUUACACAGAACACCGAUUGCGAAGGCAGCUUACUAAUCCAUCAUUGACGCUGAGGCACGAAAGCGUGGGGAGUCGAACA